UUCAGUAUCGAGGGUUCACACAAUUAGUGAUAAACCUGUUCCCACUCGUGCAAGAGCUUCAUUACCUGCCUCCUACCUUGUUAUCAAUAAAAAAGCAAAUGAUGAAUAUGGUGUGUUUGCAAGGAAAGUUAUACCAAAGAGAACUCAGUUUGGCCCUUUAGAGGGAAAACUUAAGCCUACAGAAAAAGU